GGACAGAUGGGAGAGCUGGUUUAAUCCGCGCCCCUGCUAAGGGCGUGUAGCCUCACGGUUACCGAGGGUUCGAAUCCCUCUCUGUCCGCCA
rnacentral:tRNA from 1 species